AAUGUCACAUUCGCCCGUCGAAAGACGAGACAUUUUACGCGCGGCGAACGAAGAUCAUACGAAGCAGGCAAACACAGAGAGAGAGAGAGAGAGAGAGAGAGAGAGAGAGAGAGAUGCUCCAUACGUGUUACAGGCCGAUUGGUCGGUGCUUGGGUCGCAGGACUGGAGACUCCCUCCUAUGGCACAAGGACCUGAAGCCCCAUGCCUCGGGAGAUUUCUCGAUCGCCGUGGUGCAGGCGAAUUCCUCGCUCGAGGACCAGGCUCAGGUCCUGACGUCCCCUUCCACGACCUACAUCGGCGUCUACGAUGGCCAUGGCGGACCAGACGCCUCCCGCUUCAUCACCACCCAUCUCUUCCCCCACCUCCACGAGUUCGCCACCGAGCAAGGCGGGCUGUCCGUGGAUGUUAUAAAGAAGUCGUUUGAUGCGACAGAGGAGAAAUUCUUGCAGCUGGUGAAGCAUUCGUGGCCUGCCCGGCCGCAGAUGGUGUCGGUCGGAUCGUGCUGCUUGGUGGGGGCCAUCAAGGAUGGCAUCCUGUACGUUGCAAAUCUGGGGGAUUCACGGGCGGUGUUGGGACGGAAGGUGGUUGGCGGGCCGAGUACUAGGGGUGUUCAGGUGAGGGCAGAGCGGUUGUCGACAGAUCAUAAUGUGGGGGAGGAGGAGGUGAGGAGGGAGGUGAAAGAACAACAUCCGGAUGAUCCACAGAUUGUCGUGCAUAGUCGAGGGGUUUGGCGGAUUAAGGGCAUUAUUCAGGUGUCAAGAUCCAUUGGAGAUGUCUAUCUGAAGAAACCCGAGUUCACCGGGGACCCUCUUUACCAGCAGUUUGCUGUCCAGGUUCCUCUGAAGCGAUCAGUUAUGUCUGCAGAACCAUCAAUACAGAUUCGGAGGCUCAAACAACACGACUUAUUCUUGAUAUUUGCAUCUGAUGGCCUGUGGGAGCAAUUAAGCGAUGAAAUGGCCGUAGAGAUCGUCUUCAAGAGCCCGCGAGCGGGCAUAGCGAAGCGACUGGUGAGGGCCGCUCUCACUGAGGCUGCCAGGAAGAGGGAAAUGAGAUACGAUGACAUCAAAAGGAUAGAGAAGGGUAUACGGCGCCAUUUCCACGAUGACAUAUCUGUGAUCGUGAUAUAUCUCGACCACCAUCUACGGCCCUCUAGAUUCAAGGGCAGUACCGAGUGCACUAGCUCCCCGGUUGACAUCUUUUCUCACAAUGCCGGUGUUUCAGAUGAGGACCCUCUUCGGCCCGUGUCAUAAAAAGACUCUACUGUGUCCCACCGAGGUGCUGGUAUACUGACCAUUUCCUCAUGAAUAACAAUUAUAAGUGUGUGUGUGUGUGUGUUACAUACAUACAUACAUACACUCAUAUCAGAUGCUUUGUUGAUGCUUAUGGCUGGAUGUAUAGCUCCAUCUAACACCUGAGGCGGAGAGAUUUGAGCUUUGAAUGAGUUACACGAGGAAAUCCGCUAACCAUAGUGUGGGUAGAGCCCUUCCCAUCCACAUGCAUGCACGUGCCAAUGUAGCACAAGGGUGCAAGAUCUGAGCUUUCCAUCAGGUGGGCCACUCUGUUUUAUUCUUGUGGCCUACAAAAUGAGCUGCUUCACUUGGGUGGGUGGCAGUGUAAAAGCAAUUGGAGAGCUAAAAGAUUUGCUUUUGAGCUUUCAGUUUGUGUUUUCAGUGCUGCUUGCCUGGUAACCGAGACCUAAUCGGUAUGCCCCACCUGAUGGUAAGCUUGGAUCUUGCGCCCAUGUGGAAUAUUGGAUGUCUACCUGCAUGUAGAUGGGUGGGGCUUUACAAGGGUUUGGAGGUAGCAGAUACAGCGUACAUAGUCGGGGUGUAGAGACAGUUGCUGAUAGGAGGAAGCUGGUAGUUUUCUUCUAUUCAAGACUUCACUGGGAACUUAGUUCAGAUGUGGCAAAACGUGACCACUUGGCAUGUGAGGAACAUCCGAGCUGUCCAUCAGGUUGGGGCCUGGCCAGGAAUUAGGUAGCCAUGCUUGUCAAGGAAGCCAGCUUGUGAAGCAAAUGGGGCAUUUAUGGUGGUCUGACUAAUGGACCAUCAUUGGAUGCCUCAUGUGGUGGACGUGGAGGUGGUACAUGGUCUGGGUGGUGCCCGAGGUGUGGCGCCGAAUCUACAGUGCAAUCUCCCGCGUUGAGGUUGGCAAUUGAAUCCAAUCUCAAUAAGAGCAAGAGAAGGAAAAAUUUCCUUCUCAUCCUCUCUACUAGGGGAAAAUCAAUUUUCAUUCUUUUUAUUUAUUUAUUUAUUUAUUAAAAGCAUCUUACAAUGUUUCCAACAUUGGUAUUCAUAGAACAGUUGUAACUAACCUCUAACUAAUAUUGGUGAUUAGUACUAAUCACAAUUAACCUUCAACUAAUUAAAAUAAACUCUAACAACCUUAUAAAUUCUUGACAGAACUAAUAGGUUAAGGAAAUGAUCACAGUAACUUCAAAAAAGUCCGAAAUUACCAAAGUCCUCUAAAAAUAUAGAUGACCAUGUUGUUGGCAUUUGACCUAAGGGAUGGAUUGCACAUGGCAUUCCUAUUUAGAUAAGUUUAGACGACUUUUAUCAACAUGAUGAGCAUCCAAUGGGCCCACACGGAUGUGGUCCUAAACAUGUUUUAUAGUUCAUUUUCUUCUUAUUAGGACCCUUUUUUUUUUUUUUGGGUUUUUGUUUUUGUUUUUGUUUUCUUGAAGAGAGUUCUGGAUAUGUAAGUGGGGAGAUCCUCGCUUACAGGUAGAUAUCUCCACCUGAAAUUCAACACACACAUGCACAUACAUAAAUAUAUGUAUAGAUAUGUGGAUGUGUAUGUGUGCAUUCUCAGUCCCAAAUCUAUUGAUUUGGCAAUCAGCUCCAAAGAGCCUCAAUUAAUUUUCUUGUGC